rnacentral:rRNA from 2 species
AGCGACUGAUUAGAAGCUUGCUUCUAUGACGUUAGCGGCGGACGGGUGAGUAACACGUGGGCAACCUGCCUGUAAGACUGGGAUAACUUCGGGAAACCGAAGCUAAUACCGGAUAGGAUCUUCUCCUUCAUGGGAGAUGAUUGAAAGAUGGUUUCGGCUAUCACUUACAGAUGGGCCCGCGGUGCAUUAGCUAGUUGGUGAGGUAACGGCUCACCAAGGCAACGAUGCAUAGCCGACCUGAGAGGGUGAUCGGCCACACUGGGACUGAGACACGGCCCAGACUCCUACGGGAGGCAGCAGUAGGGAAUCUUCCGCAAUGGACGAAAGUCUGACGGAGCAACGCCGCGUGAGUGAUGAAGGCUUUCGGGUCGUAAAACUCUGUUGUUAGGGAAGAACAAGUACGAGAGUAACUGCUCGUACCUUGACGGUACCUAACCAGAAAGCCACGGCUAACUACGUGCCAGAGGCG